CUGGGGCACAGAGGCACUAGAGGAGACAGGCAGCCUCCCCUGUAUCUUCAAAUCCAUCAUUGGCUAUGUUAGACAUCUUGUCUUCUAUUACAAAUUUUGAGAACCAAAGACUUAAAAUGGUCCUCUGGGUCAGAGCUGUGCAAUCCUUGAUCCUCAUCCACUGCCUCUGGAUGUCUGAAGCCCGGCAGCAUAGUUCUGUUAUCACUGUGCCAAAUGGAGGAGCGUGGGGCACCUGGGGUGAUGUGGUGCUAUGCCCUCAAGGAUAUGCG
rnacentral:lncRNA from 11 species